GGCAGUAGUUAGACCACGUCAGCACACAGCAUGGACAUGAGGACCCUUGCUCAGCUCCUGGGGAUCCUGCUGCUCUGGCUUGCAGGUGCCAGAUGUGACAUCCAGAUGACCCAAUCUCCACCAUUCCUGUCUGCAUCUCCAGGCGACAGAGUCUCUAUCACUUGCCGGGCCAGUCAGGACAUUAACUAUUAUUUACACUGGUAUCAGCAGAAACCAGGGAAUGCUCCAAAGCUUCUGAUCUAUAACGCAAAUAGUUUAGCCUCUGGAAUUCCAUCAAGGUUCAGUGGGAGUCAAUCUGGGACCAAGUUCACUAUCACAAUCAGCAGCCUACAGUCUGAUGAUUUUGCCACUUAUUACUAUCUACAGGGUAGUAGUUACCCUCACACAGUGAUACAAGCCAUAACAUAAACCUCCCAGGGAAGCAGAAGUGAGAGG